AGUGAACGCUGGCGGUAUGCCUAACACAUGCAAGUCGAACGGCGGCACAGUAAGAGCUUGCUCUUACGGGUGGCGAGUGGCGGACGGGUGAGGAAGACAUCGGAAUCUACUUUUUCGUGGGGGAUAACGAAGGGAAACUUACGCUAAUACCGCAUACGACCUACGUGUGAAAGCAGGGGAUCUUCUGACCUUACGCGAUUGAAUGAGCCGAUGUCGGAUUAGCUAGUUGGCGGGGUAAGGCACACCAAGGCGACGAUCCGUAGCUGGUCUGAGAGGAUGAGCAGCCACACUGGAACUGAGACACGGCCCAGACUCCUACGGGAGGAAGCAGUGGGGAAUAUUGGACAAUGGGCGAAAGCCUGAUCCAGCCAUACCGCGUGGGUGAAGAAGGCCUUCGGGUUGUAAAGCCCUUUUGUUGGGAAAGAAAAGCAGCAGGUUAAUACCCCGCUGUUCUGACGGUACCAAAAGAAUAAGCACCGGCUAACUUCGUG
rnacentral:rRNA from 1 species